rnacentral:rRNA from 1 species
CGUGGGUAACCUGCCUGUAAGACUGGGAUAACUCCGGGAAACCGGGGCUAAUACCGGAUGCUUGAUUGAACCGCAUGGUUCAAUUAUAAAAGGUGGCUUUUAGCUACCACUUACAGAUGGACCCGCGGCGCAUUAGCUAGUUGGUGAGGUAACGGCUCACCAAGGCGACGAUGCGUAGCCGACCUGAGAGGGUGAUCGGCCACACUGGGACUGAGACACGGCCCAGACUCCUACGGGAGGCAGCAGUAGGGAAUCUUCCGCAAUGGACGAAAGUCUGACGGAGCAACGCCGCGUGAGUGAUGAAGGUUUUCGGAUCGUAAAACUCUGUUGUUAGGGAAGAACAAGUACCGUUCGAACAGGGCGGUGCCUUGACGGUACCUAACCAGAAAGCCACGGCUAACUACGUGCCAGCAGCCGCGGUAAUACGUAGGUGGCAAGCGUUGUCCGGAAUUAUUGGGCGUAAAGCGCGCGCAGGCGGUUUCUUAAGUCUGAUGUGAAAGCCCCCGGCUCAACCGGGGAGGGUCAUUGGAAACUGGGGAACUUGAGUGCAGAAGAGGAGAGUGGAAUUCCACGUGUAGCGGUGAAAUGCGUAGAGAUGUGGAGGAACACCAGUGGCGAAGGCGACUCUCUGGUCUGUAACUGACGCUGAGGCGCGAAAGCGUGGGGAGCGAACAGGAUUAGAUACCCUGGUAGUCCACGCCGUAAACGAUGAGUGCUAAGUGUUAGAGGGUUUCCGCCCUUUAGUGCUGCAGCAAACGCAUUAAGCACUCCGCCUGGGGAGUACGGUCGCAAGACUGAAACUCAAAGGAAUUGACGGGGGCCCGCACAAGCGGUGGAGCAUGUGGUUUAAUUCGAAGCAACGCGAAGAACCUUACCAGGUCUUGACAUCCUCUGACACCCCUAGAGAUAGGGCUUCCCCUUCGGGGGCAGAGUGACA